UACAGAGGUCCCAAGCGUUGUUCGGAUUCACUGGGCGUAAAGGGUGCGUAGGUGGUCGGGUAAGUCUGAUGUGAAAUCCCGGGGCUCACCCCCGGAAGUGCAUCCGAAACUGCGUAACUAGAGGCCGGGAUGGGUGACUGGAACACAUGGUGUAGCGGUGAAAUGCGUUAAUAUCAUGUGGAACACCGGAGGCGAAGGCGAGUCACUGGAACGGAUCUGACGCUAAGGCACGAAAGCCAGGGGAGCAAACGGG
rnacentral:rRNA from 1 species